rnacentral:rRNA from 1 species
GACGAACGCUGGCGGCGUGCUUAACACAUGCAAGUCGAACGAUGAACUGGAGCUUGCUCCAGGGAUUAGUGGCGAACGGGUGAGUAACACGUGAGUAACCUGCCCUUGACUCUGGGAUAAGCGCUAGAAAUGGCGUCUAAUACCGGAUACGAGCUUCAGCCGCAUGGCUAGGAGUUGGAAAGAAUUUUGGUCAAGGAUGGACUCGCGGCCUAUCAGCUAGUUGGUGAGGUAAUGGCUCACCAAGGCGACGACGGGUAGCCGGCCUGAGAGGGUGACCGGCCACACUGGGACUGAGACACGGCCCAGACUCCUACGGGAGGCAGCAGUGGGGAAUAUUGCACAAUGGGCGAAAGCCUGAUGCAGCAACGCCGCGUGAGGGAUGACGGCCUUCGGGUUGUAAACCUCUUUUAGUAGGGAAGAAGCGAAAGUGACGGUACCUGCAGAAAAAGCACCGGCUAACUACGUGCCAGCAGCCGCGGUAAUACGUAGGGUGCAAGCGUUGUCCGGAAUUAUUGGGCGUAAAGAGCUCGUAGGCGGUUUGUCGCGUCUGCUGUGAAAUCUGGGGGCUCAACCCCCAGCCUGCAGUGGGUACGGGCAAACUAGAGUGCGGUAGGGGAGAUUGGAAUUCCUGGUGUAGCGGUGGAAUGCGCAGAUAUCAGGAGGAACACCGAUGGCGAAGGCAGAUCUCUGGGCCGUAACUGACGCUGAGGAGCGAAAGCAUGGGGAGCGAACAGGAUUAGAUACCCUGGUAGUCCAUGCCGUAAACGUUGGGAACUAGAUGUGGGGGCCAUUCCACGGUCUCCGUGUCGCAGCUAACGCAUUAAGUUCCCCGCCUGGGGAGUACGGCCGCAAGGCUAAAACUCAAAGGAAUUGACGGGGGCCCGCACAAGCGGCGGAGCAUGCGGAUUAAUUCGAUGCAACGCGAAGAACCUUACCAAGGCUUGACAUAUACCGGAAACGUCCAGAGAUGGUCGCCCCGCAAGGUCGGUAUACAGGUGGUGCAUGGUUGUCGUCAGCUCGUGUCGUGAGAUGUUGGGUUAAGUCCCGCAACGAGCGCAACCCUCGUUCUAUGUUGCCAGCACGUUAUGGUGGGAACUCAU